rnacentral:rRNA from 1 species
UGCGUAGGCGGUUUCUUAAGUCAGUGGUGAAAUUUUGUGGCUCAACCAUAAGCGUGCCAUUGAAACUGAGAGACUUGAGUGCGGACGAGGAAGGCGGAAUGUGUUAUGUAGCGGUGAAAUGCAUAGAUAUAACACAGAACACCAAUUGCGAAGGCAGCUUUCCAGACCGUAACUGACUCUGAUGCACGAAAGCGUGGGUAGCGAACAGGAUUAGAUACCCUGGUAGUCC